GCCAGUGUGGCAUAGUGGUUAAGGAGCAGGACUUCUAACCAGAAGGUUAUCGGUUCAAUUCCCCACUUGGGCA